rnacentral:rRNA from 1 species
UACGGAGGGUGCAAACGUUGCUCGGAAUCAUUGGGCGUAAAGCGCACGUAGGCGGCGCGUUAAGUCGGGUGUGAAAGCCCUGGGCUCAACCCAGGAAGUGCAUUCGAAACUGGCGCGCUUGAAUAUGGAAGAGGGUCGCGGAAUUCCCGGUGUAGAGGUGAAAUUCGUAGAUAUCGGGAGGAACACCAGUGGCGAAGGCGGCGACCUGGGCCAAUAUUGACGCUGAGGUGCGAAAGCGUG